UCCGGUUUGUCACCGGCAGUCCCAUUAGAGUGCCCAACUAAAUGUAGCAACUAAUGGCAAGGGUUGCGCUCGUUGCGGGACUUAACCCAACAUCUCACGACACGAGCUGACGACAGCCAUGCAGCACCUGUGUACCGACUCUUGCGAGCGACGACAUUUCUGCCAGUCUUCCAGUACAUGUCAAAAGUAGGUAAGGUUCUUCGCGUUGCAUCGAAUUAAACCACAUGCUCCACCGCUUGUGCGGGCCCCCGUCAAUUUCUUUGAGUUUUAAUCUUGCGACCGUACUCCCCAGGCGGGAUACUUACCGCGUUAGCUGCGUCACUGAAGGGGUCAAUACCUCCAACAACAAGUAUCCAUCGUUUACAGCGUGGACUAC
rnacentral:misc_RNA from 1 species